AACGAACGCUGGCGGCAUGCCUAACACAUGCAAGUCGAACGAGACCUGCGGGUCUAGUGGCGCACGGGUGCGUAACGCGUGGGAACCUGCCCUUAGGUUCGGAAUAACUCCCCGAAAGGGGUGCUAAUACCGGAUAAUGUCUUCGGACCAAAGAUUUGUCGCCGUGGGGUGGGCACGCGUUGGAUUAGCUAGUUGGUAGGGUAAAAGCCUACCAAGGCGACGAUCCAUAGCUGGUCUGAGAGGAUGAUCAGCCACACUGGGACUGAGACACGGCCCAGACUCCUACGGGAGGCAGCAGUGGGGAAUAUUGGACAAUGGGCGAAAGGCUGAUCCAGCAAUGCCGCGUGAGUGAUGAAGGCCUUAGGGUUGUAAAGCUCUUUUACCCGGGAUGAUAAUGACAGUACCGGGAGAAUAAGCUCCGGCUAACUCCGUG
rnacentral:rRNA from 1 species